AUUGAACGCUAGCGGGAUGCCUUACACAUGCAAGUCGAACGGAGUGGCGAACGGGUGAGUAAUGUAUCGGAACGUGCCCAGUAGCGGGGGAUAACUCCGCGAAAGGGUAGCUAAUACCGCAUACUAUUGGAGCGGCCGAUAUCGGUUUGGCUGGUUGGUGGGGUAACGGCCAACCAAGGCGACGAUCCGUAGCUGGUUUGAGAGGACGACCAGCCACACUGGGACUGAGACACGGCCCAGACUCCUACGGGAGGCAGCAGUGGGGAAUUUUGGACAAUGGGGGAAACCCUGAUCCAGCCAUCCCGCGUGUGCGAUGAAGGCCUUCGGGUUGUAAAGCACUUUUGGCAGGAAAGCGGUACCUGCAGAAUAAGCACCGGCUAACUACGUGCCAGCAGCCGCGGUAAUUC
rnacentral:rRNA from 1 species